rnacentral:rRNA from 1 species
UACAGAGGGGGCAAGCGUUGUCCGGAAUUACUGGGCGUAAAGGGCGCGUAGGCGGCCUACUGAGUCAGACGUGAAAUCCCCCGGCUUAACCUGGGAACUGCGUCUGAUACUGGAAGGCUUGAGUAUGGGAGAGGGAUGUAGAAUUCCAGGUGUAGCGGUGAAAUGCGUAGAUAUCUGGAGGAAUACCGGUGGCGAAGGCGGCAUCCUGGACCAUUACUGACGCUGAGGCGCGAAAGCUAGGGGAGCAAACGGG